rnacentral:rRNA from 1 species
AAGGAUCAUUACUGAAGUUCUACUCUUGAAGCUGUCGCUGGCCUCUAGAGGCGUGUGCACGCUUCAUAGAGUUCUUCAACACCUAUUUCAUCACCCGUGCACCAUGUGUAGGCUUUAAGGAAUCUUGUCAAGAAUACUUGGACGGGUGGACUUUGCAAAGUUCGCCCCCUCCUCCCCCCCUAUUUUCAUAUAGGGGUUAGGGGUUAGGGGCUCUCUAGCUCUGUCCCACAAUUUUCUUUGCCUAUGUUUUCUGUACACACACACUUGUUGCAUGUUCAGAAUGUAUUGUUGGAUAAUGAUAUUAACUUGUACAACUUUCAACAACGGAUCUCUUGGCUCUCGCAUCGAUGAAGAACGCAGCGAAAUGCGAUAAGUAAUGUGAAUUGCAGAAUUCAGUGAAUCAUCGAAUCUUUGAACGCACCUUGCGCCACUUGGUAUUCCGAGGGGCAUGCCUGUUUGAGUGUCAUUAAAAUCAAUCAACCCCCCUUCAACAUGUUCAGAUGUUGAAGUGGGCUUGGAUUUUUGGGGGCUUUUGUGCCGGCUUCUCUCUGCAGCCAGCUCCCCUUAAAUGCAUUAGCAGAACCGCUCAUGGUGGCUGACAAGACACGGCGUGAUAAAGUUAUCAGUGCCUAGGUCAACUGUAACUAUGGGGGUGGGUUCAGCUUCCAACAAGGUCCCAUAGGACAACUUGCUGACGAUUUGACCUCAAAUCAGGUAGGACUACCCGCUGAACUUAAGCAUAUCAAUAAGCGGAGGA